CUUAUCAUGACCUUACAUGGUAAUGCUGCACUGUUGUUAUUCUAAAUUUUGUUAUUGGCAUAUCAAUAUCAGAAUAGUCUAUUGAUUUCAUAUGAGAAGCUAGGGAAGCUUAAUAAGUUUAUUAAAGUUAUGCUGUGUGUUUCAUUGAUAUGUUUAAACAUAAUACACAAAGAGAAAUAAACUGUAUAUUAACUACACGAUGUUUGAACCAAACCCACAGUUUGAAUAAUAAUUAGCACUUGAAAACAACCAAUCAGAGCCCGACUUUUGCUGGUGUUUCCCAGAGCCUCAGCAAGCCUCCACAGAGGAUUGCAGGCUCUGGUUUCGAGAUUG